rnacentral:rRNA from 1 species
UUUUAGAAUAUAAAUAAUAAUAAAAUCAAAUCUUAGCUAAGCUGUAAAAAGCCUUAGCUACUGUAAGAUAUAUAACGAAAGUGAUUUUAAAAAAUCUGACUACACGAUAGCUAAGACCCAAACUGGGAUUAGAUACCCCACUAUGCUUAGCUCUAAACAUAAAAAAUUAUAAACAAAAUUAUUCGCCAGAGUACUACUAGCAACAGCUUAAAACUCAAAGGACUUGGCGGUGCUUACAUCCCUCUAGAGGAGCCUGUUCUAUAAUCGAUAAACCCCGAUCUACCUCACCAAUCUUUGCUAAAUCAGCCUAUAUACCGCCAUCUUCAGCAAACCCUAAAAAGGAAUCAAAGUAAGCACAAGUAUUAACAUAAAAA